CAAAUCAUCAUGCCCCCUUAUGACCUGGGCUACACACGUGCUACAAUGGGCGGUACAAAGGGCUGCGAACCCGCGAGGGGGAGCGAAUACCCAAAAAGCCGCUCUCAGUUCGGAUUGCAGGCUGCAACUCGCCUGCAUGAAGCCGGAAUCGCUAGUAAUCGCGGAUCAGCAUGCCGCGGUGAAUACCGGUUCCCGGGCCUU
rnacentral:rRNA from 1 species